rnacentral:rRNA from 1 species
GUUAUCCGGAAUCAUUGGGCGUAAAGCGCCUGUAGGUUGUUUAAUAAGUCCGUUGUUAAAGACUAGGGCUUAACCCUAGGAAAGCGAUGGAAACUGAUAGACUUGAGUAUGGCAGGGGUAGAGGGAAUUUCUAGUGUAGCGGUGAAAUGCGUAGAUAUUAGAAAGAACACCGGUGGCGAAAGCGCUCUACUGGACCAUUACUGACACUGAGAGGCGAAAGCUAGGGGAGCGAAAGGGAUUAGAUACCCCCGUAGUCCUAGCCGUAAACGAUGGAUACUAGAUGUUGUGCAAUUUGGACAGUAUCGUAGCUAACGCGUUAAGUAUCCCGCCUGGGGAGUACGCUCGCAAGGGUGAAACUCAAAGGAAUUGACGGGGGCCCGCACAAGCGGUGGAGCAUGUGGUUUAAUUCGAUGCAACGCGAAGAACCUUACCAGGGCUUGACAUACUACAGAUCUUUUUGAGAAAGAAGAGUGCCUUCGGGAAUGUAGAUACAGGUGGUGCAUGGCUGUCGUCAGCUCGUGUCGUGAGAUGUUGGGUUAAGUCCCGCAACGAGCGCAACCCUCGUUUUUAGUUGCCAAUUUAUUGGGAUCUCUAGAAAGACUGCCGGUGACAAACCGGAGGAAGGUGAGGAUGACGUCAAGUCAGCAUGCCCCUUAUGUCCUGGGCCACACACGUGCUACAAUGGUAAAGACAAAGAGUCGCCAAUUCGCGAGAAUGAGCUAAUCUCAUAAACUUUAUCUAAGUUCGGAUUGUAGGCUGCA